GAGGACCCCAUGAUGUGGAAUAAGCACCCCUAGACACAGGGCCAGCAGUAGAUUGCUAUCUGCUUCAGCAUCAUCUCCUGCGCCGCAAUAGGAAAUGAACCAUUUAAGAAUGACAGCCAUCUAAGAAGGAUACUUCGGGGGAUGUAUCAGUUCAAUUGGGGAGGUGGAAAAAAUCCAGUGUGGAUGGACUUCUAGUCUGGUAGUUGCCUAGCACUUCGGAAACCCUUAGCUGCUUGUUCAGCAGUUGUCGAGCCUGUGAAGACCCUUUCCUGGGAGGAUGCCUUUUCAAAGCAUAUAUUGGUGGAUACCCAUUCUCAUCUCAGCUGUGAGCUCUGCUUUUCAUGUUUUUCUCCUUCUGGU